rnacentral:rRNA from 1 species
CGUUGGGAUAUUGGACAAUGGGCGGAAGCCUGAUCCAGCAACGCCGCGUGAGGGAUGACUGCCUUCGGGUUGUAAACCUCUUUCAGCGGGGACGAAGCACCGCUUGAUGGUGGUGACGGUACCCGCAGAAGAAGCACCGGCCAACUACGUGCCAGCAGCCGCGGUAAUACGUAGGGUGCGAGCGUUGUCCGGAAUUAUUGGGCGUAAAGGGCUCGUAGGCGGUUUGUCGCGUCGGGGGUGAAAUCCACCAGCUUAACUGGUGGUCUGCGUUCGAUACGGGCAGACUAGAGGUAUGCAGGGGAGAACGGAAUUCCUGGUGUAGCGGUGAAAUGCGCAGAUAUCAGGAGGAACACCGGUGGCGAAGGCGGUUCUCUGGGCAUUACCUGACGCUGACGAGCGAAAGUGUGGGGAGCGAACA